UAGCGCCUCGUGAAUUCAUCUCCGGGGGUAGAGCACUGUUUCGGCUAGGGGGCCAUCCCGGCUUACCAACCCGAUGCAAACUGCGAAUACCGGAGAAUGUUAUCACGGGAGACACACGGCGGGUGCUAACGUCCGUCGUGAAGAGGGAAACAACCCAGACCGCCAGCUAAGGUCCCAAAGUCAUGGUUAAGUGGGAAACGAUGUGGGAAGGCCCAGACAGCCAGGAUGUUGGCUUAGAAGCAGCCAUCAUUUAAAGAAAGCGUAAUAGCUCACUGGUCGAGUCGGCCUGCGCGGAAGAUGUAACGGGGCUAAACCAUGCACCGAAGCUGCGGCAGCGAACGUAUCACUUAAAGCGAUUCAGCGGGUUACGAUUGACGGAGCGAAGCGACGUCAAAGCGUAUACAAAGUCGAGUCGGUUUAAGGAUACGUUCGUUGGGUAGGGGAGCGUUCUGUAAGCCUGUG
rnacentral:rRNA from 1 species